CAGAUACCAGGCUUCAGAUUCCCUGACUGUAUAAUUCAUAUAAUACAAAAUAAAUACUCAUCUUUUAAGAAUUGGGACUCAAGUAACCACAUUCAAAAGGACUGAAAUGGAGUUGAAGCACCAAUUGGUGACUUAAAUAUUUCCGUGCAAGGAGUGAAGAAAGAAGAAGAAAUCCUUCUGUGGGUAGUCCUUCUGCUGGAAAAGAACCAAAAGCGAGCUUUAAGAAAGGUAAUACAAGGUGUCAUUUUACAUUUUCUGUACAAAUGGGAACAUAUUCGUUCUCUCUGCAGCAGCA
rnacentral:lncRNA from 1 species